GUUCUCUCCGUCAAUGGCGUUCUUCGAUUAUAGAAGUUUAUCUAGAUUCUAGAGCAAUGCAUUAUGAUGUUAGAUCCGUGGAUUCCAUGAACUCCUCUGGAUAAUUCAUGCAUUGUGCAGUUUCAGUGCUUUGCUAAUCCCAAUGCUCUCCAUCAAUGGCGUUCUUCGCUUAUCGAGAACCACAUGUGAGGAUGCAUUUUAGAGUUGACUUAGCGGCUGAGGUUAGGAGAGGGGUUCGAGCCUGUUUGUCUUCCACAAGAUUCUAACUUGAACUUGUCGACUGAGCUACAUGCCCGACGCAAAUUCUAUUCAUAAACAAGCAUUGUUUGUGAAUCUUAAGAUCAAAGACAACAAUGUUAAAUU